GGAUGCGAUCAUACCAGCACUAAAGCACCGGAUCCCAUCUGAACUCCGGAGUUAAGCGUGCUUGGGCGAGAGUAGUAUUAGGAUGGGUGACCUCCUGGGAAGUCCUCGUGUUGCAUUCC
rnacentral:rRNA from 1 species